CUGGCGGCGUGCCUAAUACAUGCAAGUCGAACGCACAGCGAAAGGUGCUUGCACCUUUCAAGUGAGUGGCGAACGGGUGAGUAACACGUGGACAACCUGCCUCAAGGCUGGGGAUAACAUUUGGAAACAGAUGCUAAUACCGAAUAAAACUUAGUGUCGCAUGACACAAAGUUAAAAGGCGCUUCGGCGUCACCUAGAGAUGGAUCCGCGGUGCAUUAGUUAGUUGGUGGGGUAAAGGCCUACCAAGACAAUGAUGCAUAGCCGAGUUGAGAGACUGAUCGGCCACAUUGGGACUGAGACACGGCCCAAACUCCUACGGGAGGCUGCAGUAGGGAAUCUUCCACAAUGGGCGAAAGCCUGAUGGAGCAACGCCGCGUGUGUGAUGAAGGCUUUCGGGUCGUAAAGCACUGUUGUAUGGGAAGAACAGCUAGAAUAGGAAAUGAUUUUAGUUUGACGGUACCAUACCAGAAAGGGACGGCUAAAUACGUGCCAGCAGCCGCGGUAAUACGUAUGUCCCGAGCGUUAUCCGGAUUUAUUGGGCGUAAAGCGAGCGCAGACGGUUUAUUAAGUCUGAUGUGAAAGCCCGGAGCUCAACUCCGGAAUGGCAUUGGAAACUGGUUAACUUGAGUGCAGUAGAGGUAAGUGGAACUCCAUGUGUAGCGGUGGAAUGCGUAGAUAUAUGGAAGAACACCAGUGGCGAAGGCGGCUUACUGGACUGCAACUGACGUUGAGGCUCGAAAGUGUGGGUAGCAAACAGGAUUAGAUACCCUGGUAGUCCACACCGUAAACGAUGAACACUAGGUGUUAGGAGGUUUCCGCCUCUUAGUGCCGAAGCUAACGCAUUAAGUGUUCCGCCUGGGGAGUACGACCGCAAGGUUGAAACUCAAAGGAAUUGACGGGGACCCGCACAAGCGGUGGAGCAUGUGGUUUAAUUCGAAGCAACGCGAAGAACCUUACCAGGUCUUGACAUCCUUUGAAGCUUUUAGAGAUAGAAGUGUUCUCUUCGGAGACAAAGUGACAGGUGGUGCAUGGUCGUCGUCAGCUCGUGUCGUGAGAUGUUGGGUUAAGUCCCGCAACGAGCGCAACCCUUAUUGUUAGUUGCCAGCAUUCAGAUGGGCACUCUAGCGAGACUGCCGGUGACAAACCGGAGGAAGGCGGGGACGACGUCAGAUCAUCAUGCCCCUUAUGACCUGGGCUACACACGUGCUACAAUGGCGUAUACAACGAGUUGCCAACCCGCGAGGGUGAGCUAAUCUCUUAAAGUACGUCUCAGUUCGGAUUGUAGUCUGCAACUCGACUACAUGAAGUCGGAAUCGCUAGUAAUCGCGGAUCAGCACGCCGCGGUGAAUACGUUCCCGGGUCUUGUACACACCGCCCGUCACACCAUGGGAGUUUGUAAUGCCCAAAGCCGGUGGCCUAACCUUUUAGGAAGGAGCCGUCUAAGGCAGGACAGAUGACUGGGGUGAA
rnacentral:rRNA from 1 species